rnacentral:rRNA from 1 species
GCAAGUCGAACGAUGAAGCAUUCUUCGGAAUGUGGAAGAGUGGCGAACGGGUGAGGAACACGUAAGAAUCUGCCCCUCUUUCGGGGACAACUCUUGGAAACGAGAGCUAAUACCCGAUACGCGGUGGAGUGAAAGAAUGUCGCCGAGGGAUGAUCUUGCGGCUGAUUAGCGAGUGGGUGUGGUAAUGGCAUACCAAGGCGACGAGCCCGAGCUGGUCUGAGAGGAUGAGC